rnacentral:rRNA from 1 species
AGAGUUUGAUCAUGGCUCAGAACGAACGCUGGCGGCAUGGAUUAGGCAUGCAAGUCGUACGCUUGUAGCAAUACAGGAGUGGCGAAAGGGUGAGGAACACGUGAGUAACCUACCCUCAAGUUGGGAAUAACGCCGGGAAACUGGCGCUAAUACCGAAUGUGGCUGACGAACCGCAUGGUUUGUCAUCUAAAGAUUUAUCGCUUGAGGAGGGGCUCGCGUCCCAUUAGCUAGUUGGUGAGGUAACGGCCCACCAAGGCAACGAUGGGUAGCUGGUCUGAGAGGAUGGCCAGCCACACUGGGACUGAGACACUGCCCAGACUCCUACGGGAGGCUGCAGUCGAGAAUCUUGGGCAAUGCGCGAAAGCGUGACCCAGCAAUGCCGCGUGCAGGAUGAAGGCCUUCGGGUUGUAAACUGCUGUCACCCGGGACGAAGAAUGACGGUACCGGGAG